rnacentral:rRNA from 1 species
AUGGACUCUGUCUCAAUAUUUUGUUUCUUAUCAUAUGCUAUUUGUGGUCACCCCAAAAUAUUUUCCACUGAGAUCAAGGUGCCAUUUGGAAGUGAUGCAAACCUUGCAUGUAUGAGCAAUUUCAGAUCUGAGAUAAAUAACCAAGAGAGAGGAAGAAGGCAAGGUGUGAGUAGUCCGAAAAGGAUCUAUGGGACAUUCCAUGGAAGUCAUACUAUAAGAGGCGAAUUCUAUGCAACCCUACUACGUCUAUAUGUGAAAAGACUAAAGAUGACCCCUAGAGGAGCGAAGAAUUCCGAAGAUGAUCCCACCAGGAUAGAAGAGGUGAUUGAUAUUGGGGCUGGAGAUGAUUCUGUUUCUGAGCUA